UCCUCAGGCCUGCAGUGCAGAUGGAGCGUU
rnacentral:piRNA from 1 species